RGAGUUUGAUCCUGGCUCAGAACGAACGCUGGSGGCSUGSAUAAGACAUGCMAGUCGAACGAUCACUAUUGGGUAGCAAUAUUCGGUAGUGGGAGUGGCGCAAGGKUGCGUAACACGUGGGUAAUUUGCCGUAAAGUCUGGAAUAACUUGCUGAAAGGCGAGCUAAUACCGGAUGUGAUUGCUGGAGGGCAUCCUCUGGCACUUAAAGUCGGGGACCGUAAGGCCUGACACUUUUCGAUAAGCCCGCGGCCUAUCAGCUAGUUGGUGAGGUAACGGCUCACCAAGGCUAAGACGGGUAGCUGGUCUGAGAGGACGACCAGCCUCACUGGAACUGASACACGGUCCAGACACCUACGGGUGGCAGCAGUCGAGAAUUUUUCUCAAUGGGGGAAACCCUGAAGGAGCGACGCCGCGUGGGGGAUGAAUGGCUUCGGCCCGUAAACCCCUGUCAUUUGCGAUCAAACCUUACGACCUAACACGUCGUGAGCUGAUAGUAGCGGAAGAGGAAGGGACGGCUAACUCUGUGCCAGCAGCCGCGGUAAUAC
rnacentral:rRNA from 1 species